rnacentral:rRNA from 1 species
UAGGGAAUCUUCGGCAAUGGACGAAAGUCUGACCGAGCAACGCCGCGUGAGUGAAGAAGGUUUUCGGAUCGUAAAACUCUGUUGUUAGAGAAGAACAAGGACGUUAGUAACUGAACGUCCCCUGACGGUAUCUAACCAGAAAGCCACGGCUAACUACGUGCCAGCAGCCGCGGUAAUACGUAGGUGGCAAGCGUUGUCCGGAUCUAUUGGGCGUAAAGCGAGCGCAGGCGGUUUCUUAAGUCUGAUGUGAAAGCCCCCGGCUCAACCGGGGAGGGUCAUUGGAAGCUGGGAGACUUGAGUGCAGAAGAGGAGAGUGGAAUUCCAUGUGUAGCGGUGAAAUGCGUAGAUAUAUGGAGGAACACCAGUGGCGAAGGCGGCUCUCUGGUCUGUAACUGACGCUGAGGCUCGAAAGCGUGGGGAGCAAACAGG